UUGUACACACCGCCCGUCGCACCUACCGAUUGAAUGGUCCGGUGAAGACUCGGGAUUGUGGUCUGGCUCCUUCAUUGGGGCCAGACCGUGAGAACUUGUCUGAACCUUAUCAUUUAGAGGAAGGUGAAGUCGUAACAAGGUUUCCGUAGGU
rnacentral:rRNA from 1 species